rnacentral:rRNA from 1 species
AGUGAACGCUGGCGGUAGGCCUAACACAUGCAAGUCGAACGGCAGCACAGUAAGAGCUUGCUCUUACGGGUGGCGAGUGGCGGACGGGUGAGGAAUACAUCGGAAUCUACUUUUUCGUGGGGGAUAACGUAGGGAAACUUACGCUAAUACCGCAUACGACCUACGGGUGAAAGCAGGGGAUCUUCGGACCUUGCGCGAUUGAAUGAGCCGAUGUCGGAUUAGCUAGUUGGCGGGGUAAAGGCCCACCAAGGGGACGAUCCGUAGCUGGUCUGAGAGGAUGGUCAGUCGUACUGGAACUGAUGCACCAUCCACUGUGCUACGGGAGGCAGCAGUGGCGAAUGUUGGUGCAUGGGCGGAAGCCUUGUCCAGCCCUGCCGCGUGGGUGAAAAAGGCGUUCGGGUUGUAAAGCCCUUUUAUUGGGAAAGAAAAGCAGCAGGUUAAAACCCCGCUGUUCUGACGGUACCCAAGGAAUAAGCACCGGCUAACUUCGUG